GAUGAACGCUAGCUACAGGCUUAACACAUGCAAGUCGAGGGGAAACGGCAUUGAGUGCUUGCACUCUUUGGACGUCGACCGGCGCACGGGUGAGUAACGCGUAUCCAACCUUCCCAUUACUGUGGGAUAACCUGCCGAAAGGCAGACUAAUACCGCAUAGUCUUCGAUGACGGCAUCAGAUUUGAAGUAAAGAUUUAUCGGUAAUGGAUGGGGAUGCGUCUGAUUAUCUUGUGGCGGGGUAACGGCCCACCAAGGCUACGAUCAGUAGGGGCUCUGAGAGGAAGGUCCCCCACAUUGGAACUGAGACACGGUCCAAACUCCUACGGGAGGCAGCAGUGAGGAAUAUUGGUCAAUGGACGGAAGUCUGAACCAGCCAAGUAGCGUGCAGGAUGACGGCCCUAUGGGUUGUAAACUGCUUUUGUAUGGGGAUAAAGUUAGGGACGUGUCCCUAUUUGCAGGUACCAUACGAAUAAGGACCGGCUAAUUCCGUGCCAGCAGCCGCGGUAAUACGGAAGGUCCAGGCGUUAUCCGGAUUUAUUGGGUUUAAAGGGAGCGUAGGCUGGAGAUUAAGUGUGUUGUGAAAUGUAGACGCUCAACGUCUGAAUUGCAGCGCAUACUGGUUUCCUUGAGUACGCACAACGUUGGCGGAAUUCGUCGUGUAGCGGUGAAAUGCUUAGAUAUGACGAAGAACUCCGAUUGCGAAGGCAGCUGACGGGAGCGCAACUGACGCUUAAGCUCGAAGGUGCGGGUAUCAAACAGG
rnacentral:rRNA from 1 species